AUUUUCUCAAUGACGGCAACAACAGCAAUGUACCGUGAAUGUACUCUAAAUAUCCGUCCUUUAGAGCUGUAAAAACGAGGCUGCAGUUUAACAUGUAUAAGACAGUGCUACUAUCUUUAUGGACUUUGCCGUGAUUUCAGUACUUUAACCUAUGCUCAACGGUUGUGCAAUUAUUUUAUUUAUUUAUUUUUUUACUUAACCUGGAAUUUCUCAUUUUGCCCAAUGGGAAAUAAAGUAUAAAAAGGCUGAGACUUGUUAGGGAAGCAGAAAACCACCUCAAAACCACCAGGAUGAAGACUAUCGCUGUCCUGCUUCUGGUCUUAAGCUGCUGCCUUUGUGAAGCUCAGAUUAAUGAACAGAAUGUCAAAGCUUCUCAGUGUUCCGAAUCGACCAGCUGCUGCUCGCUGCUUUCCAUGAGUCAGACCCUGGGAGCAGUGGGAGAGAAAGUGGCAAACAUGGCAGAUAAACUGGCACAUCUGGAGGUACAGCUGCAAAGCACACAAAAUGAAGUCCUGGAGCUGCGCAGCCUUACUGGAACUCUCAGAGAUUCUGGCUCUGGAGACACCGGACCUUUCACCAUUGCUACCCCUCUGCAAUACAAGAAGGUUUUCUCCAACACUGGCAACAGCUACAAUCCUUCAACAGCUCUCUGGUGUCCCUCAUGAAAAAUGGUGUGAGGUUGACGUCCGUCUGGGAUACAUCAGGGACCGACUCCAACGACAUGGGCAGCAAUGCUGUGGUCAUCCCUCUGGAGGUGGGGGACACUGUGUAUGUGGAGCUCCAGCUGAACAGGAUCGUCUAUGAUGACGCCAUGAACUACAACACCUUCAGCGGCUUUCUGCUCUUCACCGAGUAAUUCCAACUACGUGGGGGCAGGUUUGCCUGCCUCUUUAAGUCAUUACACUGAACUUGUGAUGUAAUGUGCUGUAUGGUUUUGUAUGUAGACAUGAUAUGUGUGAAUUAAAAAAUAUACUGAAUAAAUAGCAGGUCAAUGGAUAACAGCCUGGAGUCACUCGGUGUAGUUUUCAACAGGUUUGAGAUGUGUUCCUAGCCUGUUUUUCUUUGCUGAAUCUCUCAAGCUCCUCCAGAUUUGGUGGUCUCCUGGCAUGGACCCUUGUCUUUAGUACAUAGAUUUUCAUUCGGAGUUGGGGCCUUGUGCAGGCCAAUCAUCACACAAUUUCUAUUUAUCACACCAGGAUUCCCAGUUCCAGACACACUGAAGCAUCCCCACAGCAUCGUGUGUGUGUGUCUGUGUCCUUUGGUUUUUUCUUGGUCUAGAACCAAUUCAGAGUCCUACACAGAAAUGGACUGGCUAUUUCUGUGUAGGACUAAUUAUUCACUAGUGUCUUAGCAGUUGUAGUUUUAGCAGUUUCUCCCAACUUUUCUUUCUAGACUUCUAGACUUCUUUGACUCUCUUUGAACCUCUAGUUAAAACCUCUCACACCAGUUCUUGAAACUUGGAAGCACUUUUAGAAACGUGUAUAUCUUUUUCCUGCUUUGUACGCCUUAACAAUCCUUUUUCUCAAAUCUAAACUUCAAACUCAAAUCUCUCACCUUUUGACCUGAUACCUUCACAAGUGUUAUUGUUACUUGUCAUACUGUGUUUGCCCUGCAUGAUACUACUGUUGGCUUUUAAGUGUAAAUCAAAUGCUUAUAAGGUCACUCAGAUAUAGUGACAUUGCCUAACAGUGAUUUGUACAGUGGCUAUCAAAGAGGACAGUUCUUAAAGAGGCUCAUAAUAUUUAUCCCGGUAGAAAAAAAACUCUGUUACUCUAAGCAAAUGAAAGUAAUUAAGGCUUUUGUUUCCACCAGUACCUGUGAGGUGACAUGAGAGAAGAGCGCUGGAACCCUUUGCUACAGUCUGGUCCUCUAAUUUCUGGGUGAACAGAGGCGGUCCCUGCAUCUUACGCUCCAAUGACUGCAGGGUUCGCUCCUAACAGAGAGAGAGAGAGAGAGAGAGAGAGAGAGGAUGAAGCAGGUAAAACUGUUUGUUUGGAAUCAGGUGGGGGUGGCAAAUACUUGUGACAUGAGGGUGAAGUCGAUACUCACCUUCCACCUAGUUAUUCAGCUUAUGAGAACUCACCAUGGCUCUGUAAGUGUUGGUUUGCUGAGAAAGACACGCACUGCUGAUUGGGCGUUACAGUUUGUCAUGGCAAAAAGUACACACUGAAAGAUCAAGAUGGCGAAGAUGAAACUAAGUGUUCCCAUCAUCCUUUCAUUAUUUACACAGUACUUUUUGUACAAGAGACAGUGUAAAGAGACAUUAUGACACAAUGUUAUUUUCAGCUCCAGGGCAAGCAUGUAGUUCUGUUAGUUUUAGGUCCGUGCAAACACUCAGUCUGACUGAAUUGGACCUGAUGUCAUUCUAUCAACAUUGACC
ensembl:lncRNA